UCCUGGGUGGAGUGUCAAGCAAGUCCUGUCUCCGCAAUAUGCUUUCAGUGUCAACUUUACUCAGUUUAUGGUGCUGUCUUGCAAGGUACAAAACCAGGCUGCUUUUUUCUAAUGAUGAGACUCAGCUAUUUCUACACAUUUGUUAGAUCAGCACAGUUACCUGGCUUCUGGUAUGGCAGAGCUGUAAUCUUUGUGGUUUCCUGGAGGUGUCUGUCUCUGUUUCCUCAGACUCUGCGUUUGUAGCCUAAACAACUAGAGCAACAGGAUGAAAACGAAUGCAGCAGCCUGCAACUGGAGCAGCUAAUUACAACUACAGAGCAAGUAACUGAUAUUGAAUAUAGCGUGUGCCCUCAAUCUGGAAAUGUCCCAGGAGAGCACAAGAACUGCCCGCUAAUGCCGUGGUCGGGGUGGCUGGUACACGUCCCACUCCAGCGUGCAAUUGGGACGCUGCCGGCAGGGCUGCGCAAGUGCUGAGAAGGGCUCGUGGAUCCCACAGAUGACUGCUCUGAAUAAAGAUGCAUGCUUGUGAUACUGGAGAAACUGGAUAGACAGACAAGGCUGGCACCAUCCUCCUCAGUUCAUGUGGAACAUACUGGAACAAAGAUAUCCAAGAACAGUGAAGACUAAUAGUGACAACUUCGUGUCAGGAACCCCCAAUGCGCUAUGAAACCUCAGCCAGAAACCCUGACCACAUGGGUUACAUCACAGACAGAGAUAAAGAAUGAAGGAUGUGGAAGACAGGAAAACACCGGCUGGACGACACACUACUACACCACUUCUGCCCAGAGGUGGUCUAACCCCAGGUGGCAUUUUGACUCAGAGACGCUCUAAGUAUUCUGUUAUUGUUAUGCUCAUAUAAUCCAUUUCAGACACUAAUUUUCCUUAUGUUAGCAAACCUGAAAAUGUUUGCAUCACUCGUGGUAUAAUCAGACUUCUUAAUAGCAAAUAUUGUACUGUUUAUAAACUUGUCGAAGAAACUCAUGUUCUCAAAAAAGAUGUAUUACAGUUUGAGAAAAAACAUUUGAAAUAAUGUUUUCUCCAAUUUUCUAAGAACUGCACAGAUUUAAUAUCUUUCCUACUUGAAAUUUUUCGGUCUCAAAUCCCUAACAAUUUAUCUCACUAAAUUCCCCUAAAGCUUAUAGAAUUGUGUUGCCUAAAGAAUGCACGAUUAGGCCCCAUACUUGAUUGAGGUUUUUGCAUAUCUGCAUCUCUGCAAUAUGUUCAGCAACUUAUGGACACCAGAAUAAACUAUUCACUCAAACGCAGCUACAUACAAAUUUUUUUAACGCAAUAAAACUUACGAAAUUUGUAAAGCUGAAUUAAUUUCCUUGAGCAGCUCUUGGGUCUUAUUAAAAUCUGCCAGCAUGCUUUGUUUCUCUCUGAUGUGAUCUGCUGUCAAGACAUCCAGCUCUUUCUCAUGUUUCUUGCUUAAAUCUUGCUCAU